rnacentral:rRNA from 1 species
UACGUAGGGGGCAAGCGUUGUCCGGAUUUAUUGGGCGUAAAGAGCGUGUAGGCGGUUAGGUAGGUCCGUUGUGAAAACUCGAGGCUCAACCUCGAGACGCCGAUGGAAACCAUCUAACUAGAGUCCGGAAGAGGAGAGUGGAAUUCCUGGUGUAGCGGUGAAAUGACGCAGAUAUCAGGAAGAACACCCGUGGCUAAGGCGGCUCUCUAGUACGGUACUGACGCUGAGACGCGAAAGCGUGGGGGAGCGAACAGG